GGGUUGUAAAACUCUUUCGUCGGGGAAGAAAAUGACUGUACCCGAAUAAGAAGGUCCGGCUAACUUCGUGCCAGCAGCCGCGGUAAUACGAAGGGACCUAGCGUAGUUCGGAAUUACUGGGCUUAAAGAGCUCGUAGGUGGUUAAAAAAGUUGAUUGUGAAAUCCCAAGGCUCAACCUUGGAACUGCAAUCAAAACUUUUUAGCUAGAGUGUGACAGGGGAAAGUGGAAUUUCUAGUGUAGAGGUGAAAUUCGUAGAUAUUAGAAAGAACACCAAAUGCGAAGGCAACUUACUGGGUCACUACUGACACUGAGGAGCGAAAGCAUGGGUAGCGAAGAGGAUUAGAUACCCUCGUAGUCCAUGCCGUAAACGAUGAGUGCUAGACGUUGGAAAUAUAUUUUUCAGUGUCGCAGCGAAAGCAUUAAGCACUCCGCCUGGGGAGUACGACCGCAAGGUUAAAACUCAAAUGAAUUGACGGGGACCCGCACAAGCAGUGGAGCAUGUGGUUUAAUUCGAAGAUACGCGCAGAACCUUACCAACGCUUGACAUGUUCGUCGCGAGACUAAGAGAUUAGUUUCUUCAGUUCGGCUGGACGAAACACAGGUGCUGCAUGGCUGUCGUCAGCUCGUGUCGUGAGAUGUUGGGUUAAGUCCCGCAACGAGCGCAACCCUCACUUUUAGUUGCCAUCAUUUAGUUGGGCACUCUGAAAGAACUGCCAGUGAUAAGCUGGAGGAAGGUGGGGAUGACGUCAAGUCCUCAUGGCCCUUACACCCUGGGCUACACACGUACUACAAUGCUACGGACAAAGGGCAGCAAACUCGCGAGAGCUAGCAAAUCCCAUAAACCGUGGCUCAGUUCAGAUCGUAGGCUGCAACUCGCCUACGUGAAGUAGGAAUCGCUAGUAAUCGCAGGUCAGCAUACUGCGGUGAAUACGUUCCCGGGCCUUGUACACACCGCCCGUCACACCAUGGAAGUUGGCCAUGCCCGAAGUCGUUACUCCAACCCUUGUGGAGGAGGACGCCGAAGGUGGGGCUAAUGACUGGGGUGAAGUCAUAACAAGGUAGCCGUA
rnacentral:rRNA from 1 species